rnacentral:rRNA from 1 species
UACGUAGGGGGCAAGCGUUGUCCGGAAUCAUUGGGCGUAAAGCGCGCGUAGGCGGCUCGGCAAGUCCGCUGUGAAAGUCCAGGGCUCAACCCUGGGAUGCGGGUGGAUACUGCCGGGCUCGAGUCCGGAAGAGGCGAGUGGAAUUCCCGGUGUAGCGGUGAAAUGCGCAGAUAUCGGGAGGAACACCAAUGGCGAAGGCAGCUCGCUGGGACGUGACUGACGCUGAGGCGCGAAAGCGUGGGGAGCAAACAGG